rnacentral:rRNA from 1 species
GGGACGGUCGGGGCCGCCCGUACCGGGUCGUGAGAGGUGAAAUUCUAGGAUCGACCCCGAGACGAACCGCCGCGAAAGCAUUCGGCAAGGACGCUUUCAUUAAUCAAGAACGAAAAGUCGGGGGAUCGAAGACGAUCAGAUACCGUCGUAGUCCCGACCGUAAACGAUGCCGUCUUCCGCACGAGCUUCUUAGAGGGGACCGUCCCCCGCCGGGGAAGGAGGUGCGAGGCAACGACAGGUCUGUGAUGGCCCUUAGAUCGUUCUGGGGCCGCACGCGCAUUACACUGACGCGUCCAACGGGUGACUCCCGACCCGAAGGGCCGGGGAAUCCGCAAGGCGCGUCGUGAUGGGGAUUGAACGUUGCAAUUGUUGUUCACGAACGAGGAAUUCCUAGUAGGCGCGGGUCAUCAACCCGCGCCGAUUACGGUCCCUGCCCUUUGUACACACCGCCCG